AUACCUUUCUCGGCCUUUUGGCUAAGAUCAAGUGUAGUAUCUGUUCUUAUCAGUUUAAUAUCUGAUAUGUAGGCCAUCGGCUCACAUGAUAUUAACUCUAUUUUUUAAGGGAGAAAACCCGUUAAGAUAGCUUGCUAUCUGGGCUUUCACGAGUCGUCCAUGCGUAGCACUACUGCACGGGCCUGGCUCAACCCGC
rnacentral:snRNA from 1 species